GAUGAACGCUGGCGGCGUGCCUAAUACAUGCAAGUCGAGCGAACAGACGAGGAGCUUGCUCCUCUGACGUUAGCGGCGGACGGGUGAGUAACACGUGGAUAACCUACCUAUAAGACUGGGAUAACUUCGGGAAACCGGAGCUAAUACCGGAUAAUAUAUUGAACCGCAUGGUUCAAUAGUGAAAGACGGUUUUGCUGUCACUUAUAGAUGGAUCCGCGCCGCAUUAGCUAGUUGGUAAGGUAACGGCUUACCAAGGCAACGAUGCGUAGCCGACCUGAGAGGGUGAUAGGCCACACUGGAACUGAGACACGGUCCAGACUCCUACGGGAGGCAGCAGUAGGGAAUCUUCCGCAAUGGGCGAAAGCUUGACGGAGCAACGCCGCGUGAGUGAUGAAGGUCUACGGAUCGUAAAACUCUGUUAUUAGGGAAGAACAAAUGUGUAAGUAACUAUGCACGUCUUGACGGUACCUAAUCAGAAAGCCACGGCUAACUACGUG
rnacentral:rRNA from 1 species